GAAAAUAGGGCUGGCAGUCCUUGAAGACCCUAGUCUGCUCUUGAUAAAAGACUAGCCCAGGACCAGGAGGGUGCCCAUUUGCAGCCAUCAAACAACCCUUAACCAUCGUCUACGGAGGAAACCCCGCUCAGAAAAUCAAAGCUUUUGAUGCCAAAAUCUCUCCUCCUCUCGUAACCUCUUCUCACAGCACCAUAGACUUAUCCAUCUAUAGCCCUCAAAAUCCAAAGAUUCUCGCUAAUUUUCAUUAUUUUGAGUGGUACCCAUAAAGGAAAACGCUUAGCUUAAUCUGACCCAAUCGUUUGAUCGAGAAUUUUCCCAGUGCCGGAUCUGUGGCAGGAGUGGCUCUGCCUUGAGAAUCCAGGUUGGGACCG
rnacentral:misc_RNA from 1 species